UGCGGCUCCGGCCGCGGGCUCGGCUCUGCGCGGCUGCGGCGCUCGAGGCCGGCCGCGGGGCGGGCAGCGGGGACAGCCACGGCGCCUGAGGCGCCCCGGCCGCUCCCUCGGCGCCUGCACCGCCGUGACCCCCCCGGCGGAGGGGCGACGGUGGGUCCUCACCGCGCCCGUGCCCCUCCGCCCCCGGUGCCUCCGCCCGCGGCCCCCGUCGGGCUUUGCACGGCCAAAAGUUAAAAUGUGUGGUGAUAAUGUCCCAGAUCAUUGGCGUAUUGGGGAGAAAUGCCUUGCCCCUUGUUUUGAAAAUGGAAAACUUCAUGAAGGAACAAUAACUUCUCUUGAAAAGGACAAGAAUGGAAAAUCAUUUGCUGUUGUAUCAUUCUUGGAGUCUGAAGAAAGGAAAAUACUAAUAACAAAACUUUGUAAAGUCAAAGACAGUAGAGGACCCUGGAAAAGCUUAAUAUGUGAUGAAGGUGAUCUGGAAAAGCCCUAUUUUCCUGACCAAAAUCUUCCAUCUCCUGGAGUUGCUUUUAAAUUAUCUGACAAUGGCGAUUUUAUCCCGUAUACAAUUAACAGAUACCUGCGUGAUUAUCAAAGGGAAGGAGCCCAGUUUCUGUAUAGACACUAUGCUAAUAAAAGAGGGUGUAUUCUUGGAGAUGAUAUGGGCCUUGGAAAGACAAUACAGGUCAUUUCAUUUUUGGCUGCAGUAUUGCACAAAAAGGGAACACGUGAGGAUAUUGAAAAUAAUAUGCCGGAGUUUUUGCUGCGGACAAUGAAAAAGGGCUCAGAUUGUAACCCCAAGAAGACUUUCCUCAUAGUGGCCCCUCUUUCAGUGCUGUACAACUGGAAGGAUGAGUUAGACACAUGGGGAUACUUUAAAGUCUCUGUCUUACAUGGCAGUAAAAAAGAUGAUGACCUGAGUCGCAUCAAGCAAGGGAAAUUUGAAGUUGCUCUUACAACAUACGAGAUACUUCGCCUAUAUUUGGAUGAAUUUAACAGUAUAGAGUGGUCUGCUGUGAUAGUGGACGAAGCACACAGAAUCAAGAAUCCAAAGGCUCAAAUAACUCAAACCAUGAAGUCAUUAAAAUGCCGUGUUCGCAUAGGUCUUACUGGAACCAUUCUUCAAAACAAUAUGAAGGAACUUUGGUGUGUUAUGGACUGGGCUGUACCAGGACUUUUAGGUAGCAGAGUGCAUUUCAAGAAGAAAUUUUCUGAUCCAGUGGAGCAUGGCCAGAGGCACACUGCAACUAAAAGAGAGCUAGCAACAGGUCGUAAGGCCAUGGUGAAGCUAGCAAGAAUAAUGUCUGGCUGGUUUCUGAGACGUACCAAAGCGCUUAUCAGUGAUCAGUUGCCAAAAAAGGAAGACAGAAUGGUGUUUUGUUCCCUCACUGAAUUCCAGAGGGCUGUGUACCAAGCUGUGCUAGAGACAGAUGAUGUAACCUUGGUGUUAAGAGCAGGAGAGCCCUGUAGCUGCAACAGUGGCCGUAAGAGGAAGAACUGUUGUUACAAAGUAAAUGCACAUGGUGAAACUAUUAAGUCAUUACGCUUCAGUUACCUAAUGAUCUUACAGAAGGUUGCAAACCAUGCUGCACUGCUGCAGACAGACAGCACUAGCAAACUGCAGGAAGCGCAUAUCAAACGAGUUUGCAGCCAGGUAUUUUCCAGUUUUCCAGAUUUUGUGCAGUUAAGCAAAGAUGCAGCCUUUGAAACUAUUUCAGAUCCAAAAUAUAGUGGAAAAAUGAAGGUCCUUCAGCAGCUUUUAAAUCACUUCCGAAAAAAUAAGGAUAAAGUUCUUCUUUUCUCCUUUUCCACAAAGUUGCUUGAUGUGCUAGAACAGUACUGCAUGGCAUCUGGGCUAGAUUACCGAAGACUUGAUGGAAAUACAAAAUCAGAAGAUAGGAUCAAAAUUGUGAGAGAGUUCAACAGCCUUCAGGAAAUUAACUUAUGUCUUGUAUCUACAAUGGCUGGUGGACUGGGUCUUAAUUUUGUUGGUGCCAAUGUUGUUAUACUGUUUGAUCCUACAUGGAAUCCAGCAAAUGAUCUUCAAGCGAUUGACAGAGCUUAUAGAAUUGGCCAACACAGAGCUGUUAAAGUGUUUAGAUUGAUAUCCUUGGGAACUGUGGAAGAGAUGAUGUACUUGCGACAAGUUUAUAAGCAGCAACUUCACUGUGCAGUGAUUGGAACUGAAAAUGCCAGACGGUAUUUUGAGGCAGUGCAAGGAUCAAAGGAACAUCAAGGAGAGCUUUUUGGGAUUCAUAACCUUUUCAAACUUAGGACUCAUGGGUCCUGUCUUACCAAAGACAUACUGGAGAGGGAAGGACGGGUAGAAGCAGGAGUCAUGACAGCAACUACAUGGCUGAAGGAAGAGAAUAAUUCGUGCAGCUCAGAAAAGUAUGAACAAACAGACUGUCAAGAAGAUGGAGAUCCCCAAAGCAUUCAGGCACACUUAAAAAGAGAAGAAACUGAUUUUUGGGAUCAUUUGAGUGAUGAUGAUAUUCUGGAGAGUUCUGUGAAAAAAUCUGACAGAAGAAAGCCAUGCAAUGAAAAUGUAACAAAAGGACAGCUUUCCUUAAUGCAGUGUGGAUUCUCUAAGUUGUUGCAGAGAGAAAUUGAGACUACCAGAGAAGGGGAUCACAAUUAUGACUCUAAUCAUUCAAGUUCUGAUGCUCACACGAUAAGAAAAAAUGUAAAUAGCAAGCAUGGUGGUUUUCAGAAAUGUCAAACCAGUGUGCCUGUUUUGGAGCAUGGGAAAGCUGUUCUGUCUCCAAAUGGAAGUGAUAAAGAAAGUAUGCAUAGUACAGAGUGGCUUGGUUUAUCAGGCUCUGAGGAGGAAGGCAGCAUAAAAAAUGAGAAUCAAAGCAUUUUAAAGCAAUGUGACAUAGUCAUGGAAACUGAAAGUAGUUCUGAAGCAGAUGAUGAUGUCAUCUUUCCUACCCAAGUUCAAGUAUGCCAGCAACCAGUGCUUACUAAAGAAAUUGAAAUACAUAGGUCAACAUCUGAAAAUUGUGAAGAGUUAGCAAAAGAAAAAGCUGGGUUUGUAUUUAAGGGAAACAGUAGACAAUUUGGAUUCCACAGUACUGAGUCAAACUUCGCCAUGUCUUUUGAAGAUGUCAAGAAUGACAUAGAUUUGAAAGGAACGAGCGAUGUAAGCGAUGAGUCUGAUGAUAUUGAGCUUCCCUAUAAUUCUGAAUCAGGAAAGCCAGGAACUCUGAGUUUUCCCAAGUGGAAGAAAUCUCUACCACAAGCAAAGAAGCCCUGUAGAAAAGGAAGGGAAAGUGAUUCCCAGAAUAUAGAUGAAUUCUCAUCCUCUGAAGAUAAUUUUCCAGUUGAGAAAAUUCAUGCCAGGAAGAAAAGCUAUAGGAGUAAACAGAGUAGCAGAAUUCAGUUUGGGUCUAAAAUGCUGUGUCCUAUUCAAGACAUGUCUGUUGCACAAAUGAAGUCAGGCAAUUAUGCUGUGCGUAGCACUUACGCAAGUAAAACUGUAUUUGAGCAUCAAGAAAAAAGAAUGGAAUCAAUGGACAAAUAUUUAGAUGGCGUUCAAGAAGUGGCAUAUAUUCAUUCAAAUCAGAAUGUGGUUGGAUCCAGCAAGGCUGAAAAUCACUUGAGCCGAUGGGCGGUGCACGACGUGUUUGAGUUGAAGCAGUUUUCCCAGCUGCCUGCUAAUGUAGCUGUCUGUAGUGCCAAGGUUCCAUAACAAUCCUGGAUUCAAGACUGCAGAGCCUUUUACAUUUCUUUCCCCAGAGCUGACAGGGAGUGUAGUCACAUUGUCUAUAUAAGGUUUUUAAAUGAAUUUUGCCAACUGACUAGUUUAGCUACAAUGUUCACAUUUAUACUACUGAGUGCUUGUUUGGUCUGUAUUUCUAUAAGUACUGUAUGACUCUGAAAGACAGUUUGGUAGUAGCAACCAGAAUAUAAAGUAUGCCAUCAAGAAACAUAAACAAGACAUCAUGAUACCUCUCUCACAACUUAGCAGCUGUGAAAGGUGAGAUAAAAUCCAGCAGUAAUAAAUGUAACAGUGUAAACUAUGCAUUAAUUGUACAAUCAAGAGAAUAAACCAUCAUUUGAUUUAAUAUCAUUACCCAAAAUAAAUCCUGUCCAGCACCUGAAUAAAAGAAAGUCUGUGUAUGACAAUAAUAGCAGCAAGCAUAUGUGGAAAAGUGUUUUAUCACAUGAUCCAUUGUGGAACAUGUUUCUUUUAUCACAGAAGUCCAUGGGGUUGCAUAAAAAUAGAAGAAGAUGCUCUAGGUGUUAGACCCCUGUUAAGUGUUGAAGGACAUACAAAGGAAGUUCUCUCCAGUGUCUUCUCUUCUCCAGGCUAAAUAACUCGAAGUCUCUCAGCCUUUCCUGACAGGAGAGGUGUUCCAUCCCUCCACUCAUAUUUGUGGCUUUUUUCUGCACUAAGAAUCACCUGCCUUGACCUGUGGCCACACUUCUUUUGAUGAAGCACAGAACAGUAUGACAAUCUUCCCUCAAAGAGAUGAUGUUUCUGAUAGUGCUGCUUAUGCAGAAGGGACUGAUGUGUCAAUACUUGGAGGUGUUUAGAGCCUCAGUAAUCAAAACAAAGCCAGGGAUUUCUGUUCAAUGCAAAAGUGUGGUAGGCAGCUGUUUCUGAAGAAAUUUUGGAGAUAUGGAUUAUACUGUAUAAUAGGUUAAUAGUACAUCUCAUCUUCCUUUAUAGUUAUAAACUUUACUUGCAUGUCCCAGAACCUAAGUGUCACAGAAAGUAGACAGGUGUGUCUCUGUGCAGUUUGAGAUCUCAUGCUACUCAUAAUCUUUGCUAAGUCAUGAGUGUUAAAGUGUGAGUUUCAUUUCUAUUUGUGAUGCCAUGAUGCAGAGAGAAUCACAUGAGGCUGUAGUAAAGACCUUGAGGUAGAAAAUGCAUGUCAUUAAUUGUGGCACAUGGCCACUCCAGUAAAGAUUACUGAGAGCUGUUAUAUGACAACAAAACAUACUUUAUGUGCUGCUUCACUGAAGAUUAUUCAUAGGAAGGGUUUUCUACUCUGUUAUAUACAAGGAUGAAGGAGAAAGAUUAUAUUGCAAAUUAAUCUACUGGAAUAAAUAUCUUGGGUUUUUUCUGGGAUUAUUUUGUUUGGUUUAGCCUGAUUUGAUGACAUUGAGCCCUCUGUGUUCUGCACUUGAGUUGAAAUUCAAGUCUUGUGCUAAUAAACUUUUUAAACAAUG